GAGAUGGUCCUCAUUCUCUCUCUCUCUCUCUCUCUCUCUCUCUCUCUCUCUCUUUUUUAAAGAGCGUAAGAAAGAGAGAGAGAGAGAGAGAGAGAGAGAGAGAGAAAAUUUUUUUAAUAU
rnacentral:miRNA from 1 species